CAGCCACGCUCAAUCGCUCAUUCUCUCUCCCUUUCGUUCUAUCUCUCUCGCUCUUAGAUCUCAGCAAUUUAAACAGAUUAAACCUAAUUGUUCAUCAUUUUCCUUCAUUCUUAUACGAUCUCAGAGAAUUUGGGUGGAAGCCAGUUAUAAUUUCCUUCCUCUCCUUGUCAAUUUCUUCAAUUUAAGGCAUUAUGGAAUCUACCCGCACAUCAUAUAUUAUAUUUAAGUACAAAGUAUGGUUUGGAGUCUUUCAAUUUUUUUUAUACAUCUCUAUUUUUUGUUUAUCUUUUGGUUAUACUUUGUCCUUUUAGUAUAUGAAACUGUCCAAACAUGUUGAUGCAUCAUGGAAUAUAUGCAAUGCAAAAAAUAAGAUGAUAACAGUGGAAAAGGAAACUAUUGUACAUAGCGCUUAAUAGUGAGGCUCCUUUGAUCAUUGACGGUUGCUAGCAACCGCUUUCCAAAACUUACAGGAUAUUGUUGUGAUUAUGUUAUGUCCUUGUCUACGUCAAAGUUAUUAAUCAAGUGGUUUUAUGAAGACAUUUAGUGGCUCCGAAUUCAACUGUGAGAAGCUGCAAUUUUUUUCAAUGUAGAUGGAGAAUUGCAAUGAAACUUUUUUUAUUUAAUGUUAGCUCUUUAAGGGAAUUUGUGUUACACAAAAUGUAUUUGUACUUUUCUUUUAUCAUUCUAGCUUAGAUUAAUAACGUUAGAAUAUAUUGGUUUUUUUUUUUUUUUACAUUGCACAUGUACUAAGUUGUAUACUUCUUUUGAUUAUGAAAAAAAAAUUUGAGUAAAAUUUUCUUUUUUUUUUUUUUUU